rnacentral:rRNA from 1 species
UACGUAGGCAGCGAGCGUUGUUCGGAGUUACUGGGCGUAAAGGGUGUGUAGGCGGUUGUUUAAGUUUGGUGUGAAAUCUCCCGGCUCAACUGGGAGGGUGCGCCGAAUACUGAAUGACUCGAGUGCGGGAGAGGAAAGUGGAAUUCCUGGUGUAGCGGUGAAAUGCGUAGAUAUCAGGAGGAACACCGGUGGUGUAGACGGCUUUCUGGACCGUAACUGACGCUGAGACACGAAAAGCGUGGGGUAGCAAACAGG